UAAUACCGGCGCCUCAAGUGGUAGUCGCUUUUAUUGGGCCUAAAACGUCCGUAGCCGGUUUGGUACAUUCGUGGGUAAAUCAAGGCGCUCAACGUCUUGAAUUCUGCGAGCACGGCCAGACUUGGGACCGGGUGAGGUGUGGGGUACUCUCAGGGUAGGGGUAAAAUCCUGUCAUCCUGAGAGGACCACCUGUUGCGAGGGCGCCACACUAGAACGGAUCCGACGGUCAGGGACGAAGCCUAGGGGCACGAACCGGAUUAGAUACCCGGGUAGUCCUAGGUGUAAACGCUGUGGACUUGAUGUUGGGAGUGCUCCGAGCACCCUCAGUGUCGAAGCGAAGGUGAUAAGUCCACUGCCUGGGGAGUACGGUCGCAAGGCUG
rnacentral:rRNA from 1 species